UUCCUGGAAUUGGAGGUUUCUUGUAGACAUUUUCUUUCUUCACUUUCAAAAGCUUGGGGUUGGCCCAACUCAUAGGCUGCCCAAUCCUGCUUUUAGUAUCAGUUUAAAUCUAUGGCUUUAAUCUCUACACUAAAAACAAAAUCAUU
rfam:Tupaia chinensis contig93724, whole genome shotgun sequence.